UAUGGAAGCGUAGACAUGUCAACGGAUUGGACUCGGGAUGAAUUUUUAAAAAUUUGAAUCCAAAUCCGACUUUAAACCUAAGAUCUGAAUUCAAAUUCGAAUCCGACAGAUUUUAAAAAUUUAUAUCUAAACCUGACCCGAUCAAAAAUUCGAAACUCAAAUCCGAACAAUUAUUUUUUUUUUCAAUAUUUCAAAAUAUAUUACAUUAAAUCUAAAUUUUUAAAGUUAUAUAUAUAUAUAUAUUUAUUUAUAUAUAGUUGGACUGGGCUACUAUUAGUAGCAAAAUCUCAUUGUUGCUACAAGUUUUUUAGCAUUUGGAUCAACUCUUUUCAUUAUUUCUAACUAUUGGAUUAAAUACUAUAAUCCAGUGGGGACCACUCAACCAUAGAAGGACCACUCAACUCUAACUGACUAAUAUCAUCCUGACCCUACAAUUUUUCAUCCAAGGGUUAAAAAUUUGAUAGCAAAAAGAGCGUUUUACUAUCAAUAGUAUUCCAGCCUAAUUCUAUAUAUAUAUAUAUAUAUAUAUUAUGCAUAAUAAAUUCGGGUUCGGGUCGAAUUCGGGUUCGGAUCAGGUAUCGUUAAAAUUCAUAUUCGAGUCCAUAUCCAUCGAAUUUUUAUUUUUGAUAUUCAUAUCUGAAUCAAUAUCCAUUUAGCAUUAGAUAUACCCGCUUCAUUCGGAUUCGGAUUCGAAUAAAAUUUCGAAUAUCCAUACCCACUACUAUCAUAUAUCUUAUAUUCUUUUAAUCCAAAAGUCAUCAUUUCUGACUU
rnacentral:lncRNA from 1 species